GCGUUGCUGCGCGGUGCGUCAGGAACUCUUAUCCCCGGGGCCUUAUCGAUCCGAACGGGGGCUGUCCCUGACUGGGCCCGUGGGCCUGGACAUACGGCUCCCACCUACGCUGUAGGUUUCCCGGGAUCGACAUUCCGACGGCCGAGGCGGCACGCC
rnacentral:other from 1 species